GCUCAGAUUGAACGCUGGCGGCAGGCCUAACACAUGCAAGUCGAGCGGUAGCACAGAGAGCUUGCUCUCGGGUGACGAGCGGCGGACGGGUGAGUAAUGUCUGGGAAACUGCCUGAUGGAGGGGGAUAACUACUGGAAACGGUAGCUAAUACCGCAUAAUGUCGCAAGACCAAAGUGGGGGACCUUCGGGCCUCAUGCCAUCAGAUGUGCCCAGAUGGGAUUAGCUAGUAGGUGGGGUAACGGCUCACCUAGGCGACGAUCCCUAGCUGGUCUGAGAGGAUGACCAGCCACACUGGAACUGAGACACGGUCCAGACUCCUACGGGAGGCAGCAGUGGGGAAUAUUGCACAAUGGGCGCAAGCCUGAUGCAGCCAUGCCGCGUGUGUGAAGAAGGCCUUCGGGUUGUAAAGCACUUUCAGCGGGGAGGAAGGCGAUAAGGUUAAUAACCUUGUCGAUUGACGUUACCCGCAGAAGAAGCACCGGCUAACUCCGUGCCAGCAGCCGCGGUAAUACGGAGGGUGCAAGCGUUAAUCGGAAUUACUGGGCGUAAAGCGCACGCAGGCGGUCUGUCAAGUCGGAUGUGAAAUCCCCGGGCUCAACCUGGGAACUGCAUUCGAAACUGGCAGGCUAGAGUCUUGUAGAGGGGGGUAGAAUUCCAGGUGUAGCGGUGAAAUGCGUAGAGAUCUGGAGGAAUACCGGUGGCGAAGGCGGCCCCCUGGACAAAGACUGACGCUCAGGUGCGAAAGCGUGGGGAGCAAACAGGAUUAGAUACCCUGGUAGUCCACGCCGUAAACGAUGUCGAUUUGGAGGUUGUGCCCUUGAGGCGUGGCUUCCGGAGCUAACGCGUUAAAUCGACCGCCUGGGGAGUACGGCCGCAAGGUUAAAACUCAAAUGAAUUGACGGGGGCCCGCACAAGCGGUGGAGCAUGUGGUUUAAUUCGAUGCAACGCGAAGAACCUUACCUGGUCUUGACAUCCACAGAACUUUCCAGAGAUGGAUUGGUGCCUUCGGGAACUGUGAGACAGGUGCUGCAUGGCUGUCGUCAGCUCGUGUUGUGAAAUGUUGGGUUAAGUCCCGCAACGAGCGCAACCCUUAUCCUUUGUUGCCAGCGGUCCGGCCGGGAACUCAAAGGAGACUGCCAGUGAUAAACUGGAGGAAGGUGGGGAUGACGUCAAGUCAUCAUGGCCCUUACGACCAGGGCUACACACGUGCUACAAUGGCAUAUACAAAGAGAAGCGACCUCGCGAGAGCAAGCGGACCUCAUAAAGUAUGUCGUAGUCCGGAUUGGAGUCUGCAACUCGACUCCAUGAAGUCGGAAUCGCUAGUAAUCGUAGAUCAGAAUGCUACGGUGAAUACGUUCCCGGGCCUUGUACACACCGCCCGUCACACCAUGGGAGUGGGUUGCAAAAGAAGUAGGUAGCUUAACCUUCGGGAGGGCGCUUACCACUUUGUGAUUCAUGACUGGGGUGA
rnacentral:rRNA from 1 species